rnacentral:rRNA from 1 species
GGCGUAAAGCGCCUGCAGGCGGCCUGGUAAGUUGGACGUGAAAGCCCCGUGCUUAACGCGGGGAGGUCGGACAAUACUGCCAAGCUAGAGUGCGUCAGAGGGGAGUGGAAUUUCCGGAGUAGCGGUAAAAUGCGCAGAUAUCGGAAGGAACACCAGUGGCGAAAGCGACUCCCUGGGGCGCGACUGACGCUAAGAGGCGAAAGCUAGGGGAGCGAACAGGAUUAGAGACCCUGGUAGUCCUAGCCCUAAACGAUGGAUGCUAGGUGUGGGACGUAAAGUUCCGUGCCGGAGCCAACGCGAUAAGCAUCCCGCCUGGGGACUACGGUCGCAAGGCUAAAACUCAAACGAAUUGACGGGGACCCGCACAAGCAGCGGAGCGUGUGGUUCAAUUCGAUGCUACACGAAGAACCUUACCUGGGUUUGACAUGUACGUGGUAGAGAAGCGAAAGCGGAUUGACCCUUCGGGGAGCGUACACAGGUGCUGCAUGGCUGUCGUCAGCUCGUGCCGUGAGGUGUCGGGUUAAGUCCCGUAACGAGCGCAACCCUUAUCCUUAGUUGCACGUAUCUAGGGAGACUGCCGGCGGGAAGCCGGAGGAAGGUGGGGAUGACGUCAAGUCAGCAUGGCCCUUAUGUCCAGGGCUACACACACGCUACAAUGGCCGGUACAAAGGGCAGCAAAGUCGCGAGGCGGAGCGAAUCCCAACAAAGCCGGUCGUAGUUCGGAUUGCAGGCUGCAACUCGCCUGCAUGAAGCUGGAGUUGCUAGUAACCGCGCGUCAGCUAUAGUGCGGUGAAUACGUACCCGGGUCUUGUACACACCGCCCGUCACGUCAUGGAAGUCGGUAACGCCUGAAGGCGGUAGCCUAGCUCGGAAGAGGGGGCGCUGUCGAAGGCGGGACU